rnacentral:rRNA from 1 species
UACAGAGGUCUCAAGCGUUGUUCGGAUUCAUUGGGCGUAAAGGGUGCGUAGGCGGCGCGGUAAGUCGGGUGUGAAAUCUUGGAGCUUAACUCCGAAACUGCAUUCGAUACUGCCGUGCUUGAGGACUGGAGAGGAGACUGGAAUUUACGGUGUAGCGGUGAAAUGCGUAGAUAUCGUAAGGAAGACCAGUGGCGAAGGCGGGUCUCUGGACAGUUCCUGACGGCUGGAGGCACGAAGGCCAGGGGGAGCAAACGGG